UAUUCCUUAUAAUUUAUAACGAAGAAGGAGAUAGUGAUUAAAAGUUGAGCAAGUAUUUUAUUAGAAGCUGCAAGCGUUGGGCGUUACACGUAAUUUCGUGGACCGAGAAUCUUUUAAAAUGAUGAAAUGAACGGUAUCCGGAUCGAUCGGCGCAGGUAUACCUAUUAUGGAUAUUGACCUGAAUAUCGAGUACCAUUAAGUGGGGUUUGUCCUGACUUCAUUGAAUAAACACACCUUUGUUAAAUUACCGAUAUGCCUUCGAGAUAAAAGUUCUCCCGAUCCAGCGACUGCUGUCUAAACAAUUAAGCCGUAAAUACACAUUGGAAAAAUUAUUCUGAAGUUUAUACAAGAUACAAGGAUAUUGGACUUGGAAUUAUUUGCGAUAAAAUUAUUGGAAAAAACAUCUUACAGCUUCAGUUGACCGAGUGAAGGAAGUGCACAAGAAUUGUCAGAAAAACCACAAACGUUGUAAUUCCAUAUAAGUACGUGUGAAUCAUGAAUCGAACUAGUGACAAACUAUGACGUCAUCUUGAUACCAGAAUUUGCUGAAUAAAAUUAAAAGAACAUAAAUCAAAAAAUCAACAUUAUUGAAUAUUUUUAGAAAUAUAACUUCUGAAUGUACGCUAAUAAUGUCACUAUUGGCUGUCAUUUCAUCGAUAUGAUAGUCCUUUAAUAUUAAUAGCGAUAACUUUUUAUCGAACCGAUCUCAUUGAUGUCGAAUUACGGAGAAAAUUAUAACGAUCGACAGAGUUAAAUAAUACCCACCAUUAAUAUUUAUGUCAAUCCGAAAGUAAAAUAGCAAAGUCAUCUUGCUGCAGUGAAAGUAAAUUUAUUUCCAGCUCAUUAUCAUUUUUAUUGGCUUCCUUUUCUGCCAUAGUACAUCGUACGCAUUAGAUAUGUAAUUUCCUUUUUAUCAAUCAGGAUGAUCGAUAUUUCCUCUUGGACACUUUACAUUAAUAUAUUCCAAGAUGAAAUCGUAAUUUAAGGAUGGAAAUAGCAUUAAGAAGAAGAACGAAGAACAUGUAAAUGUUGACAAAAAGAGAACUAUCUUCAAUUAUAAUCUUCUUCUACGUGAAAUGUUGUGAUAGAAAAUAUGGAAGAUAUUUAUGAUAUUCGAAGAAGGAUUGGGAAACGACAUAGUAUGACAUAACCAUUCCCUCGUCUUUACCAUAUAUGGCAAGAAAUUAAGAAAAAUAUGAAUGAAAAGGUGCACGAUGCGGAAAAAUAAGAAGCAGAAUACAAACGUGGUUGCUUGUGAAAGCUUUUUAGCAGAAGAAUCUUUUAUUAUGCCGUAGCGUGUCGCGAGCAGUCGGCUCUACUCACGGAUCGUUCCAUUUUCGUUCGUCUGGCCGGUGGUUCGCCACGGAACGAAGCUCUGGAAGAUCAGCUGGAGCGAUAAAGAGGUUAAAAUACCGACGCGUUGAACCGAGAACUCGCCUGACAAUUUAGACGGAGGAAAUAAUGUGCAACGAGUCGAGUAAAAUCGUUAAUUAAGAGAUUCGCGCUCUAUGGCUCUGGCGAUCUUUGUAGCGGCGAAUCGUGUAAUGAUGCCUAACACAUUGAUUGUUAUUGUUUCUCGACAAAAUGCAGGGGGAUCUGUAAAAUCUAUGUUCGUUCGAUAAAUAAUUAAGCAUUUGUCCUAUUUAUGAUAUCGAGUCACGUUCACGAUUUAAUAUUAGAACUAUCAAAAUAUAGGGAUUUUAUACAUUUGUACUAUCACAUUUUUGGAGAUUUUAAUGGUUCUUCGUAACAUAUAUGGAUAACGGCUUAUUUUUCCUAUUGUAUUAUAUAUUUUAUCAUAUACUUUUCAUUUUGAUACAAAUUUCAUACUUUAGUCACUGAUAGUUCUAAUGUUAAGGAACGAAUUACAAUGAAGAGAAGAAGCUCUGCUUGUAUCA
rnacentral:lncRNA from 1 species